rnacentral:misc_RNA from 1 species
GGAGCUUUGCCGAGAAAGUUUCUGAUAUAAAGCCUCCCCUGCUUCAGCUUCUGGUGAGCUUUUGGCAAGAUGAGGCUGAGCAUGUUAAGAUGGCAGCACGCUCCUUAUUUCAUUGUGCUGCUUCACGAGCCAUUCCACCUCCAUUACGCCGGGAUAAUCCAAGAGACAAUGAGAAUGGAGUAUCACCAAGUGGAUGCUAUGAUACAGUCCCAACAGAAGCACCCACCAACUGCUUGAGGAAUGACAGACAAAUUGUCACUGAAGGGAACUCUGAGGAUGAAGAAUCUGAGAUCAGAUCAUGGCUAGAAUCAUUUGAAAUGCAAGAUUGGAUUUCUUGUGUUGGGGGCAUGAGCCAAGAUGCAAUGACAUCUCAUAUCAUUGUUGCUGCUGCCUUGGCUGUUUGGUAUCCCAGCCUUGUGAAACCAAAUCUUUUUGGCUUGGCUGUUAAUCCAUUGGUGAAGUUGGUUAUGGCGAUGAAUGAGAAAUACAGUUCCACUGCCGCAGAAAUCCUGGCUGAAGGCAUGGAAAGCACAUGGAAGGCAUGCAUUGAUUCCGAAAUACCCCGCCUGAUUGGAGACAUAUUCUUCCAAAUUGAGUGUGUCACUGGUGCAUCCGCUAAUACACCUACUAAGAAUUCGUCUACAUCUGUUAGAAUUCGUGAUACUUUGGUUGGAGUUCUUCUCCCAAGUUUAGCAAUGGCCGAUGUAUUGGGCUUUCUGAAUGUCAUAGAACGCCAGAUCUGGUCAACUGCCUCUGAUUCGCCUGUUCAUGUAGUAUCCCUCAUGACUAUAGUUAGGGUUGCACGCGGUUCUCCAAGAAACUUAGUUCAGUAUCUUGAUAAGGUGGUUGCUUUCAUUUUACAGACAAUAGAUCCUGGUAACUUAGCCAUGCGAAAAACUUGCUUGCAAAGUUCAAUGGCGGCAUUGAAGG